rnacentral:rRNA from 1 species
AUUGAACGCUGGCGGCAUGCUUUACACAUGCAAGUCGAACGGCAGCGGGGAGGAGCUUGCUUCUCUGCCGGCGAGUGGCGAACGGGUGAGUAAUACAUCGGAACGUGUCGAGAAGAGGGGGAUAACCACCCGAAAGGGUGGCUAAUACCGCAUAAAUUCUGAGGAAGAAAGCUGGGGACCUAGGAAUAGGCCUAGCGCUUUUUGAGCGGCCGAUGUCGGAUUAGCUAGUUGGUGAGGUAAAGGCUCACCAAGGCGAAGAUCUGUAGCGGGUCUGAGAGGAUGAUCCGCCACACUGGGACUGAGACACGGCCCAGACUCCUAAGGGAGGCAGCAGUGGGGAAUUUUGGACAAUGGGGGCAAACCUGAUCCAGCCAUGCCGCGUGUAUGAAGAAGGCCUUAGGGUUGUAAAGUACUUUUGUUAGGGAAGAAAAGUCAGCUGUGAAUAAUGGCUGAUACUGACGGUACCUAAAGAAUAAGCACCGGCUAACUACGUG